CUGUCAGUGAGCCUUCAUUCAGUUUCUUUAGGUCCAGGGUUCCUCAUCAUCAUCAGUCUGGGUGCUGGUUCCCUUUUCCUGGUUCUGCUAGCUGGGUCUGUGCUGUGUGUUCUCCAACGCAAGUGUGGGGUUCAAGGCAGGCCUGUAAAUACAGGAAGGCCACCUGAGCAGCAAGACCAAACCCCACCUUGUGUCUAUUCUGUCAUCACAAAGCCGUCUAGGGAUGAGGAAGAGGACACUAGUCUGCAAUACGCUACAGUGACAUCAACUGGUGACCGAGCUAGUAUUCAAUAUGCAACAGUGAAAUCUACCGGUAACCAAGAUGGACCUGGGCGCACCAAGAUCAAGUUUGAAAUAGCUGGAGAGUACGCCCUCUUAGCAGAAUCAUAGAAGAAGAAACAUUUACUGGAUAACAUUUUUUGACAUAGUUUACAGUUAUAAUCCUAUCUUUCUUUCUUUCUUCAUAUUGGAUCAUAAUUUACUCAUAGUACAAAAAAAUACUGCCACAACAACAAAGACUAAAGAUAUCUACUCCUUUCUGAAAACAAGCAGCUUCAACUAUUUGCAUUUUAGGUU